rnacentral:lncRNA from 1 species
UAAAUGUUGCCUGUUUCCAUCGGAGUGCCCUUUUAAACCCUUUUUCCUGGAGCAAAAUCCGUGUGCAUCCAAUAGGAUUUACCUGCAGACCAGCCCCUCCCAGAAAAUAGUCCCAACGUCGCCAGUCCACUCUGAUCUUAGCCCCUCACUGAGCUCCGGCUGUCCCUGUAAUCCUGACCGUGCUUUCACGCUUUUCAUGGCUGAAGAGUCCUGCAAAAUAUGGAAACCCAGAGAAAAAUGGUUAACAAACACUGACUAUGAUUUUCCUGAUUGCACAGCUCAAGAGAUUGAGUUCAACCACUUAAACUAGCUCAGAUGUGGCACCUCUUAAUCAAACCCUGUCUUUCUUUAGCCCU